rnacentral:rRNA from 1 species
GACGUAGGGCGCGAGCGUUGUCCGGAUUUAUUGGGCGUAAAGAGCUCGUAGGCGGUUUGGCAAGUCGGGUGUGAAACCUCCAGGCUCAACCUGGAGUCGCCAUCCGAUACUGCUAUGACUUGAGUCUGGUAGGGGAUCACGGAAUUCCUGGUGUAGCGGUGAAAUGCAUAGAUAUCAGGAGGAACACCGGUGGCGAAGGCGGUGAUCGUGGGCCAGUACUGACGCUGAGGAGCGAAAGCGUGGGAGCGAACAGG